UAGAAAUAAAAUUAUAACAUUAUUAAAUCCUUUAACAUCAAG
rnacentral:sRNA from 1 species